GAGUUUGAUCUGGCUCAGAACGAACGCUGGCGGCGUGCUUAACACAUGCAAGUCGAACGCGAACGAGUUCUUCGGAACUUUAGUAGAGUGGCGCACGGGUGAGUAACGCGUAAGUAAUCUACCCUCGCAUCUGGGAUAACCCACCGAAAGGUGUGCUAAUACCGGAUACGUCUAAGUUAAUAUCUUUUUUUAGAGAAAGGUGGCCUCUGAUUCAAGCUACUGUGCGGGGAGGAGCUUGCGUACCAUUAGCUAGUUGGUAGGGUAACGGCCUACCAAGGCGACGAUGGUUAGCGGGUCUGAGAGGAUGAUCCGCCACACUGGAACUGAAACACGGACCAGACUCCUACGGGAGGCAGCAGUGAGGAAUAUUGCGCAAUGGGGGCAACCCUGACGCAGCGACGCCGCGUGGAUGAUGAAGGCCUUCGGGUUGUAAAAUCCUGUCAGAUGGGAAGAAGUGCUAUAUGGUUAAUAUCUGUAUAGUUUGACGGUACCAUCAAAGGAAGCACCGGCUAACUCCGUGCCAGCAGCCGCGGUAAUACGGAGGGUGCAAGCGUUGUUCGGAAUUACUGGGCGUAAAGCGCGCGUAGGCGGCUAUGUAAGUCAGAUGUGAAAGCCCGCGGCUCAGCCGUGGAAGUGCAUUUGAAACUGUAUAGCUUGAGUACUGGAGGGGGUAGUGGAAUUCCCGGUGUAGAGGUGAAAUUCGUAGAUAUCGGGAGGAAUACCGGUGGCGAAGGCGACUACCUGGCCAGAUACUGACGCUGAGGUGCGAAAGCGUGGGGAGCAAACAGGAUUAGAUACCCUGGUAGUCCACGCCGUAAACGAUGUCAACUAGGUGUUGGAGUGGUUAAUCGCUUCAUUGCCGGAGCUAACGCAUUAAGUUGACCGCCUGGGGAGUACGGUCGCAAGAUUAAAACUCAAAGGAAUUGACGG
rnacentral:rRNA from 1 species